rnacentral:lncRNA from 1 species
UACCGUGAGAGUCAGUCUGAAUACCGAAAAAGAAUGUUAACCUGGAUACCAAAAUAAAUGGUAACACCGAAAUAACCAUGGCCUGAAUGCCGCUCAUCAGUCUGAAUACCGAAAAAGAAUGUUAGCCUGGAUACCAAAAUAAAUGGUAACACAGAAAUAACUAUGGCCUGAGUGCCGCUCAUCAGUCUGAAUACUGAAAAAGAAUGUUAACCUGGAUACCAAAAUAAAUGGUAACACAGAAAUAACCAUGGUCUGAAUGCCGCUCAUCAGUCUGAAUACUGGAAAUGACUUCGAUCUGAACAUCGGGAGAUAUGAGAUUAUUAAGAAUGUUAACCUGGAUACCAAAAUAAAUGGUAACACAGAAAUAACCAUGGUCUGAAUGCCGCUCAUCAGUCUGAAUACUGGAAAUGACUUCGAU